rnacentral:lncRNA from 1 species
CCGGGGAGAUGAAAGUUGAAGUAAGAUGUGACAGUUUUGGGGAGUAGAAGAUGAGACCCACAACAAAAGGAGACCCUUUGAAUCCCACAUAUCUAAAUGUAAUUAGUAUAUAUUGAAUUGAAUGUUUCAAAAUUUGGAGAAAUUAAUGAGAAAAAUCAACGUUGGAACAGAUGGGAUAGCCAUCAUCAAUAAGGGAAGGGUCGGGGCUGGCUGGGGGGUGAAGAUAAACAAUUAAAACAGAUACACUACCAUGACUCUUUCCCCCCACCCCUCUAUCUCAUAUUUUCUCUCUCCAAGUCUCUUUUAUUUUCGUGC